ACACCUCUUGAGGGCAGAGGGCAGAGCAGAUGCUGCCUGUGUCUGACACAUGUCCUCUCAGCCUACCUGGGAUUAUCUCAGGCUAGUUCUCCUUGGAGCUGCUGGCUUCUUACAUCCCUCUGUCCAAACAAAGAUGUUCUCUGGCUCUACCUUGGAACACGGAUGGCCUGCUGGAAGAAUAAUAAUAAUGAUUGUUGGUUGAUACUUGCGGAGCCCAGAAUGUUCUGAGUUCUGCUCCCUCGUUGCUUUCUUCCUGGGAAAGUUUUGAAGAGGAGGCUGCAAACAUCCCUGGUUUACAGAUGAGGAAACAGAGCCACCAAGAGACUGAGGAACUUAUUCCAAUCUCUGUUAACAAGCACACUUUCAACCACCGUGAGGCUCCUUCUGCAGGAAGCUUCCCAACAUCCAAGGUGACAUCUGCCUGCUUUUCCUCAUCAUCCAAGGUAAAAUAAUUACAAAUGAGUUUUUAGAGUUUCUAUAGCUCUCUGGGUUCUCUGAUAGCCCAUCUAGCUUGCCAUCUUGUUUCUGCUUCUGCUCCUCUCCGCAGGCAAUGAAAACCUCCCCUCAGACAGCUGGGGGGAACAUCUUAAGAAAGGCCAGACCAGCACAGCCAUGAGGCAUCCCACCUUCCUAGGGUGUUGGGAUUUUAGAGAGGACAGUGGUCAGUGGGCCCAUAGCUCUCAAAUCAGUGUGUGUGCAUUAGCUCUGUGUCUGUUGUGGAGGGGACUAUGGAAACACUUGGCAAGUGAAAGCUCUGGUCCUCUUGCCAGUUCAGUAAGUUCUUUGCCUCACUGACACAAAUGCUUCUGAAAGGUCCCCCACAUUGGCAUAAGGCUUUUCCAUUUCUACUCUGUACUUUCUAAUUGUAAUAUUUACAGAUUACAAGCCUUUCCUUUGGACUAGAUAAGCACCAAACUGCAGAAGAAAUAGAUGAAAUUCAAAACUAAAGAAAACAUAAUCCCAGGAACAAAGAGCCCAUUUUUAGAGGCAGAAGGAUACUAUGUUUAACCUUGGAAUGCAGCAUCUAAAAAUCUCUCUCUUAUCUCUUGGACCUCUAGCUCCAUCACUGAGGUUUUACCCUCUGGCAGCCCUGAGCAUUUUCUUCAUUAACAUGCCCAUCAAAUGUUAGACAGUCAUCCUCAGGCUUCAUGAACUUGUUCACGUGGGCGAGCUAAGCUGAGCUUUCUUCAGGAGAAGUUUCUCUGUGUCAACAGAACAGGCUAGUGAUAUAAAUACAAUUUCAACUGUGUUUCUAAACACUGAAGCCAUGGCUAGAAUGCUUUCAAGUGCCCUCAAGUAUGCCAGAAGCAUAGUUUAUGUGUCACUUGCUGGUCAUUCCUGUGCAUUCAUCAGCUCAAGUCCCUAAGUGUGGGAAGUGUGCCCUGAUUGCAGUUAUUAUCUAUAACUGUUAGGAACCACAUUGGAUGUGCACUUACAUUUAUUAUUCUCAGACUUUGUAUUACUUCACAUUGCCUUUUCCCAACCCCUCGCCUUUGAUGUUCUCCAGACUCCUCUUUGGCAACCUGCGUGUUAUCUGAGUUCAAAGGUCUGCUGACAUUUCCACCUCAACCCUCCUGGCCAUUCAGAAACCAGAUCCUGUUGAUUGUACUCCUCGAACUCAUCCUCUCUUGGUGGCAAAUCUCCACGAUGGCCCCAGCCGAGCCCCUGCCAUUCUCCUGGACCUUUGCUGCUGUGUCCACUGCCUCCUCCUGACCCAGCUGGAAGGGCGGCCUCACGUUUCCCCUUUAUGCAGCUGUGUACAAGGGACACAAAAAUGACAACAUGUGGAUCUCACCUUUAAGGAGCUUCCAGUUUCAGCUCAUCCUCUGUGUCAUGGCCAGAGAGACCCUUUCCUGCCCACCCACACACAACAUAUGGCACCUGGGCCUCCCUUCUGUCCACACUCUCCACUCGGGUAGACUCUCCGGCUCCAUCUAAGCACCUACAGUGGUGUUUGCAGGUCUCUAGCAUCCACUUCCUGCCAGGCCGAGCCAGUCACUGUGGCCAGGUCAGCUCCCUCAGCUGAGCCACCUGGGCCACAGCCCAACCCCCAGGCCACAGCCCAACCCCCAGGCCUCUGUGCCCCACAGCUGCGCUGAGUUCAGGGUGGGGUGGGGGAGGUGGCCCUUUGUGUCUGCAGCUUGUGCACCACUGCUAUCUGAGCUCUGGAGCUGCCUGCUUAUCUAAGUGAACGUAUCCCCAGGCCCUGCUCCCCAGGCCCAGAGGUGGCUCACAGAGCUGGACUGUGUCCUCACGCUGGCCUUCCUUUGGGGUGCCCUCAGUGAGUGUGUCCUGUCCUUUCUCACCUUAGGUCCCUCUUGUGCUUAGUGUCCGCAAAUACCUCCUAUUCUGGUCACGUGCUUCCUGCCUGGAGACUUAGCCGCAACUGCUACCCCAGGAAGAUCUCUCCAGGAGCCUGAACCACCAGUUCUGGAGGACCCCUGCCCCAGCUGUGUGUCUCUCACCCCAGCUGUGUGUCCCCUGUAUGGCUUUGUCAGUGUUUCCACUGCUCUUCUCUCCCUCUGCCUACAAACCCUCAUUGGCCCAGGAUUGGGAGUUGGGGGAGGUACCCCCACUGCUCUGACCAAUUGAGCCACAAUCGGUCAGAUGUGGUUUUCCAGAUGGGUCUCUGCACCCAGGUGACUCUGCCCUGGGUUUACUGUCCUGGGAGCUCCCAGGUCAGAGCGGCUGAACCAAGGCCUCUGGGCUCAGAAGUCCCAUGUCUGCUCUCUGAUCUGAGCUGGCUUGGGGCCCAGGGCAGUGGGACGAAGGUCAGCAUCCUGACUUUUGGACUGGCAAACAUUUCAUUUAAUGAUUCUGUCACCUCCUUGUUGUGCCAAAGAGAAGAGAAGACAUGUCUCCUUCACCACACAGGACACAUACCAUGACACCAGCCCGACCGGAUCCCUCUGGCUUCUUAAAGCAGGAGCAGAGGGAGGGUCCCCGUCAGACUACAUGGCAUGGCUUUUGGAGAAAAUAUAUUUUGUUUUUGCCUUUUCUAAAAUUAAAA
ensembl:lncRNA